rfam:Oryza sativa (indica cultivar-group) chromosome 2, whole genome shotgun sequence.
AAAAAGACAAACCCUGGGUUUCCGUGUCUAAUUUUGACUGUCCGUCUUAUAUGAAAUUUUUUUAUAAUUCGUAUUUUUAUUGUUGUUAGAUGAUAAAACAUGAUUAAUAUUUUAUGUAUGACUUGUCUUUUUAAUUUUUUUUCAUAUUUUUUUUAAAUAAGACGGACAGUCAAACAUUGGAAACGAAAAUCAGGGUUUGUCUUUUU